UACGAAGGGGGCUAGCGUUGCUCGGAAUUACUGGGCGUAAAGGGCGCGUAGGCGGCACUGUUAGUCAGGCGUGAAAGUCCUGGGCUCAACCUGGGAACUGCGCUUGAUACGGCAGAGCUAGAGGAUGGAAGAGGGUCGCGGAAUUCCCAGUGUAGAGGUGAAAUUCGUAGAUAUUCGCAAGAACACCAGUGGCGAAGGCGGCUCACUGGCCCGUUACUGACGCUGAGGCACGAAAGCGUGGGGAGCAAACAGG
rnacentral:rRNA from 1 species